rnacentral:lncRNA from 1 species
UUUUUAUCAGUUUCCUCUUUAUUCUAUAAAAUCAAUCGAUCAUAUUCUAGUGGUUACGAACGUUAUUGCCCCGUUAUCUAAAAUUGUGACUUAUAUUAAACAUCUCCGAUUUUUAAAAAUAUAGAUUUUAAAAAUAUAAUUCGAAUCAUAACUUGAUAAACUAUAUACUUUAUUUCACAUUGAUUUAUAUGACUCAUGCAUACAUAAUAUUUUCUAGAAAAUUAAACAAAUGAAUGUCAUAAUAAUGGAGACCCUUUUUUUAUUUAAAGAGUUGUUUGGAGGUAAAGUAAGUUUUUUAGUAACUUGAGGUUAAGUUCAAAAAAAAAAAAAAUGGAGACCCUGUCAUGACAUGACUCAUGACUCCAUUGCUCAUAGUCACUACUCAUCACUUAAGUGACAAACCCUAACUUCUUUCUUGUACAGUCACUAAAAAUGGCUUUUGCGAAAACGACCCCUCAUUUAGUAUGCAAUUUCGUUUCCAGCCACUUUUGUUUGUUAAUCAUCGCUUAUCAUCACCUUUUGUUUGUUUUAAAGCAAUCUUCUCCAUGUCGAUGAAAGACCCAUAUCGUGUGAACACCUUUUACAUUCGACGGCUAGCCGAAAUUUAUAAAGAUUUAAAACCAUAAUUAUAUGUAGCUGUAUCAUGUAUUUUAAUGUUCAUGAUAGUGUGGAAUAUUCGACCGACCGUAUUAAACUACUUUUGAAAGUUUUAAUACUAAAGACUAUGUAGGCUGGCGAGUUUUGGUUUUAUUUCCGAAUUUACCUCACGACUUGUGUGAUGUGUCGACCAAGGUCAGUGCCGAACUGCCGAUCCGACAAUCUCAUGUGAGUUCAAUUAUUUAUUAAUUCAAGUUUAACAUAACUAAUGGUCUCAAGUUGUGAGAAAAAAAGUUAAAAAGAUUGUGGGUUAGGUUAUGGACGUAAAGUUAUUAAUUUACAAUGAUUGAUUAAGGGAGAUUAGGUACGUGUUACUGGCUGUUAAUCAUGGUUACAUGUUAUUUUUAGGUCACCUACCGACCCUGGAGAAGAUUACACACGUAGUCGUCUUGUGUUUGGGCCUAUUGUUCGUAUCUGAGGUUUAUUUGACUGGGUUUUUGGGGCCAGUAUAUUGGGGUGUUUUUCAAAACCAACCCAUAUUUUCAAGUCAAACCCAAAACCAACCCUUUUUUUUUUUGUCCAUACUAUUCAUCAAUAAAAUUUCCAUAUUAUCCUUAUAUUUUUGAAUUAUUCACAAAAUUGCCAUUUUAUUUAUUUUUUUUAUUAAUUUCGAAAUUAACAAAAAACCAAAUACACCCUAACCAUUUCUUCUUAUUUACAAAAAUGCCAUCAUCAUCAAUUUUUCCAACCACCAUGAACCACCAUUUUUGAGCUCUAAAGCUCUAAAAUUGAAUUUUCAACCACUUUUUUUUCUCAUUAUAACCCAAAAAACUUCAUUUCUUCUCAUCUCCUCUACAUUUCCAUCUAAAAAACUCUCAUAACUAUCAUUUUCAUAAUCAUAAACUUCAUAUUUUCGAGUUUCUUCAUUAGUGAAUCGUUAAAGAUGCUUCUUUUUGCUCAUAUUUGGAGUUUGGACGGUUGAAAAGGUUGGAAACGAGCUUUACACAUGAAAAAGGUAACUAUUUACAUGGUUUUCGUUCUUUUUCAGAUCUGUGUCGCGACGGUAGACUGUUUUGUAUGUCUACGCCUCCGUAGAGACUUACGAUGCAGUCUAUUUGUCAACGCACGGGUUAGUUUUGCAAUUGACCAGACAAUUUUUUUUUCUAACGCAGACUUCCCCAGUAGUCUCCGUCUUUACCUUUGACAACAAAAAUAAAAUUUUUCGGUAGACUUACUAAGACGUCUACCUAAAAGAGGUUAGUUUUUCAUUUGACCGAACUUUUGACUUUUCAAAAUACACUUCAACGGAAGUCUACAAAAUGUAGACUGCCACCGAAGUCUAUAAAAGGUCAGUUUUGCAUUUGACCAAAACUUUGACUUCGUGGAAUAGGUUAGUUUUGUGUUUGACCAAAAAGUUUAAAAAGCAAUAAAAAAUUUAUUAAAUUGUAGACUUCAUAUGCAGUCUUCUUAUCUUAAAAAAAAAUGUAGACUGCGUAUAAAGUCUACUUUUUUAUUUUGGUCAAAUGCAAAACCAACCCGUCGGAUUUGAGAGUGGACUUCACAAGAAGUCUACACACCCGUAGACGUUCAUUUUAAUCUACUGAUUUGAAGUCAAACUUGGUCAAUUGCAAAACUAACCUCUUUCAAAAAAAUUCAAACAUGUAGACUGCAUAUGAAGUCUAGUUCUGAAAGUCAAAUCUUGGAUGAAUUCUGGUCAAUUGCAAAAAGUAACCUUUUUAAAUUGUAGACUGAAAUGAAAGUCUACAUGUACAAAAUCACAACUUUUAUUCAACUAUAGAAAGCAACCCGUAAAAUGGUCAAUUGCAAAAACCAACCCAAAGAGUAGACCUAUUUGACAGUCUACGUCUGUAAACUGAAAAGAACGUCUACAUCUUCAGAGACUGAAUAUUAAGUCUGCAUAGAAAAAUCUAUAAAAAUGUGAAUUUGUGUAUUAUUCAUUAAAUGUUUUCUAUUUUUUUGUUUGACAGUGUGUGUUAGUUAAUCCUAAUGGGUUUGAGUGAUUUUGAAAAGAAUUUUUUUAAUAAUUAUGAAGGUAUAAUUCAUUUAAUUUGACAAUGUUGUUAGCUAAUAAUUGUAUACGUAUUUGUAAGUCUUCGUUUAUAGUUUUGCUAAUAAGGUUGAACUUGUUUUAAAGCUGAAGUCGGUGACUGUGGAAUAUAAAUUUACAUUCUCAGCAUAUAAGACAACGAAAACUCUGUAUGUGGCUAAGUGUCGUGUUCAAGGAUGUGGUUGGAAACUUAGAGCGAGUGUGAAGCAUGGGUCAAAGACAUUUUGGGUGACAAAAUAUUCGAAAAGGAUGAAGAAUCGGAAAGGUUGAAGAAUGUUCCUUGUGCAUGAUGGCUGUACACAUGGUAAACUUCUUGAAAUGACACAAGAAGAUUAUGAUCUGGACAACAAAAUUGAGAAGAUUGUGCUAACCUAUUCCUUACCAAACAUCAUUUAAAACAAAUGACUCCGAAUAGGAAAAUACUCCUCUUAUGCCAGUCACGAAUAAUCGACAAGUACGGAACUCGAUCGAGUUAUCUAAAACACACUUUGUACGCCUUUGUGUAUCAUGUCUGCGCCAAAUACACUAAUUUUUUUUGGAUUGACUAUAUUUUAGAUAAUAAGUGUAGACGUUUUUGUAAAUCUACAAAUGUAGACUGCAGUUGAAGUCUACGUCGUAAAUUCUAUUAAAAGUGUAUUUGUGUAUUAUUCAUCAUAUUUUUUCAUGAUUUAAUUAUUUUACAGUGUAUGUUAGUAAAAUUUUAAUGGUCUUGGAUGAAUUUCACAAUUUAAUGUGUUAUAAUUAUACACUUGAUACUUAUUGCAAAUUGUUUUGAUUAGUGUUAUUCUUGAAAAAUUUUGGGAAAAUUUUGUAUAGAUUUUCUUCUUCUCACAUGUAUGUUAGUUUUUAUUUUAGCUUAUGGUGGUUUUACUUGUUUGGUUGGUUAGAUCUUGUGAAAAAUUGAUAUCUAACAAAAAAUUAAUAAUAUCAUACAAGUGAAAACAACUAAAAAUGAAUACAAUGUUUAUAGAUUAUGCAUUAAAAAAUUAUUUAAAAAUUAAUAUUUUAUUAUGAAAGUUAUUACAAAGCAAUAAUAUUAAAAAGUAUUAUUGAGUAUGUUUGAUUUUUCAUAAUCUUGAUGCUUCAAAUAAAGUCUUGGAAAAAGUACCUGCAAAAUAAGAUAGAGUUAUGAGAAAAACAUAAGAUAAAAAAUGAAAUCAUAUUUUAGUAGACCUUUUAUUAAGUCUACGUAAAGUUAUUGUUUAGUAGACUUUAGUUGAAGUCUAUACUAAUGGAAAAUUUUCAUAUCCAAAAGUGUGCAUUUAGAAAAUUUGAAAAUACUUUGUUCUGGAAAAUAUUUCAAAAAUGGUUUUUUGUCAUCCUUGUAACAAAGCAAAAAGAUAAUGUAUGAAUCUAUAAAUUUAGUUCAUUAUAAACACAAAAUAUCUUAUAAUGAAUAUAUGGAAAGCUUACAUUUUUGGGAAGAUGAUUUGAAAACAUUGGAAGAGAAUACCUGCAAAAUAAAAUAAAAUUAUGAAAAAUAAGAUAAAAAUUAAAAUCAUAUUUGAGUAACUUCUAAUGAAAUAUGCUUAAAAGUCAAGGCUAGUAGACUUCGUUUGAAGUCUACCAGCCAUAAGUUUUAAGUAGAUUUCAAAUGAAGUCUACUCUAUAAAAAAAUAGAUCUGAAAAAUAAAUAAACUAAAAAUAUGAAAUAAGUUUAAAUCUAAAAAACUUUUAAAAAUAUGAUUUAGUAGACAAAAUAGUUAUAAAUUAAAGACAUAUUAAUAUGAAUUUUAAUAUGUAACUUUAUUUGAAUAUAAAUACUAGAACACAUAUUUUAAAUCUAUAGAUGUAAACCUUACAUUUCUAGGAGGAGAAGAGAACAACUAUGGAAGAAAAUACUUGCAAGAUAAGAUAAAAUUAUUAAAAAACAUAGAAAAAAAAUUAAAGUCAUAUUUUUGUAGACUUCCAAUGAAGUAUGCUUAAACUUUGUGGUUUAGUAAACUUCAUAUGAAGUCUGCAAGCUUUAGUAAACUUCUUUAGAAGUCUACACUGUCUGGUAAUUUUCAGAUCUGAAAAAAUCUAUAUAUUUUGAAAUGUGAAAAUAAUUUUAAAUCUGAAAAUACUUUACAUAAUAGAAUUUAUAAGGUAAACUAGUAGCAAAUUAAUGUAGAGAGCUUGAUCUAUAAAUUUAUUUGAAUAUAAACAUAUAAAUACAUAUUUAAAAUCUAUUAGUCUAAAACUUACAUUUUUAGAGGAGAUGAUGAAAUCCAUGAGUGCUAAUACCUACCAAAAAAGAUAAUAUUGUGAGAAAUAAACAUAAAAAUUCACAUUUAAAAUCUAUAGAUCUAAAACUUACAUUUUUUAAAGGAGAAGAUGAAAACCAUGAAUCAUAAUAUCUAAAAUGACAAGAUAAUAUUGUGAGAAAGACUUGAGAAAAUUUUAGAGAGAAAGAAGAUAAUGAGAGAGAUUUGGAAACAAUUGAGAGAAUUUUAGAGAGAAGAGAGAAAGUUUUAGAGAGAAGGGAGAGAGUUUUAAGAACUUGUGCAGCCACUUUAGAGAGAGAUUGUAUAAAUUUUGUUUAUAUAGGGAGACACAAAUGUAACUAGGUUAAAAUUUACGAUACUGUAGACUUCGUUUGAAGUCUACUAAAAUUAAAAUUUUGGAGUAGAUCUUACUAUAACAUAGUAGACCUUUUUGGAAGUCUACUAUAAUAAUUUAAUUAUUGUUAUUUAUUCUUUAUUAUUUUAGUAAUUUUAAUAUAUGAUUUAUUAAAUUUAUUUCUUUAUUUUUUAAUAGUUAUAGUAUAUGAUUUCACUUUUUUAUUCGUAAGGAACUUAACUUAGUUUAAAUAUAAUGAUUUUUUGUAAAACAAAUUGAAAAAUAUAGACUGAAAAAGACGUCUUCAGAUAAAUAGACUUUAUUGUAGGUCUACGAAACCCUAAACCACAAAUCUCAAACCCUAAAUGUUUUGCUUGAUAAUCAAAAAGUCUCAUUUAUACAAAAUAUAAACUACUAAACAUUAGUAUGCAGAUUUAAGUUAAUAAAACAAAAAAAAAACAAAAUCUAAAAUCUAACCCUAUGAAAUCAACUACUAAAAGACAUAACAUGUUAGAACCUUUUGUUUCUAAACUAUGAACAUAGUCUAACACAUGAUAACUAAAUUAGUAUAUAUUCUUCAAAAUUGUUCGAUUAUAUGAAAUUUUAAUUUAUUUACUUCAUAUUAUCCAUUAUAUUGAUGAUUAGUUAAAAAUAUCACAAUAAUUAUUUUUAUACAUUUUCAAAAUUAAAUUAUUAGAUCAAAUUAGAGUGUAGACUACAAAACAAGUCUAUAAAGUAGACUUCGUAGGAAGUCUAUAUAUAUGUAGACUUCUUUUAUUACAUGUAGACUUGCAAAGGAUAGAAACGUAAAAUACAUUUCUGUUUUUUGUUUGGUCAUAAGGGUUAAAUAGUACUUUCAUUACUCCUUUAGGUUGGUUUUGCAUUUGACUGAAAGUGGAGUAUACUUUUACAUUUGACUUGAAUAUUUGGGUUAGUUUUAGCAAAUGUCCCAGUAUAUUGCAUAACUGGAUGGUAGGAUGUUUUUUUCAAUAAUGAACCUAAAGGAGUUAUUGGUAACUUAAUUUGUAUUUUAACAGAAAAAUGUAAGGUUAAAUUUAUUAUAAGUCAUAUAUUUUUAGUUAAGGUUAUGUCAUAUGCUUUUAGGAUUUAUUUCAUAUCACUGAUUGAAAUUUUUAUUAUACUAAUAUAGUAUUGAGAUAAAGAGUCUCUUACAUUAUUUCAUAAACACAAAACUUUCAGUAUAUUAUAUUUUUAGAUUUUUUAGUUUUUAUAAGUAAACAAAAAAUGAAUUUUCCAAAAUAUAUGAAAAACCAUAUUAAGAAAUAAAAAUUUCUUAAAUGUCUUGAAUAUAUGUUGGUGUGUACAUUUUUGUUUGGUUCUUCAAAUUCUCACUUGUGAUGUGUGACCUAUUUUCCAUGUUAGGUUAAAAAGAAAAUUGCAUCUUAGCUGUAGUGAUACAAAUAAUAUAUGUUCUUUACAAAGUAAAUACUUAAAAAUAUUACAUUGAUGGGAAAACUCUCUUCAUCUUUUCCAUCUUCUCAUAAUGCUCAAUACCAAAAUUUUGAUUGCAAUUAAAAAAAUAUGAUGAUUGCUUUCAGCUUCUAGGGCAAUCACGUACAAGAUCACCGGUCAUGGUGACCUUUCACAUUCUCCUGGACCUGUGCAUCAUGGACAUAAACAAUGGUAAUGUUAAACAUUAACAAAAGGAGCUGUACAAUAAUCUAAAGAAAGUUAUAUUCACCUGAAUUCCUUAGCCAUGGGUUGAAGCACAUGUGUUCUUUUCUCCAUGAGCUUUGGUUCCUUCAUAAACCUCUUGUUUGCACGUGCUCUGGAUUCACGAAUCUCAUGCGCAACAUGAUCUCUUCUCUCUUUCUCCAAAUUCUUAUCAUCUUCAUCGUCCUUCGUACAAAGCUGAGAGAGAAGCACCACCAUGAGAUUUACAUCCACCAAAGAAGCAGCUGCUUCAUCUUCUCUUCUCUCCUCCUCCUGAUCGUGUUUAGCUUCACGAGAUGAAUCCAUAACCCGAAAAGAAGUCAAACAGAAAGAAUACAGUUAUUUUGGAACUUUUCGUCCCAAGGAUUAGCCGUCUUUAGGACAAAAGACUUCUCUCUUUAUGUGGCUUAUUAUAGUAAGUAACUAAGUUAAUGAUAUAUGGCUACACAACUACAUGAAUCAAUUUGCAGUUUUAUUGUGUGGCUAUUGUAUUUUUUCCCCUUGGAGAUUUGAUGGAAGAGAAGUAAAGCUUCUAAAAUUUGUUAGACAACAGACCGGUGAGCAACUAGCGAUUAGAACCGAAUGUUUUUUUUACAGAGCUGAUCAUGAGCCAAAAAGUUCAUAAAGUACUACUUUUAGAUGCCAAAACUUAUAUAAAAUUUUGAAAAUAGAAAACUUUAUAAUUUAGCACCAAAGCCUUAUAGUAUUAUCAUUGUAAGUAUAAUUAAUGUUCAUUAUCAUGCAGUCAACUACAUAACGCCGUGCACCAAAUUUCAACAAGAAAAAAACUACGUAACGCCGUACAUGCUUUCUCAACAUACAUGUACGUUUUAAAUGGAGGUUUAAGGCAGAUUUGAUGGAGGAUUGAUUGAACAGACGUGAACCGAUAAACGGAAGAAGUGGAAAGGAUAGAAGGAAUCAGAUCGUUGUCUGCGCAAGAGAAGAAGAAGCUAGAGAUCGUCGAGACGGCUAGAGGAAGGUCCUCUCUGUUUUGCGUAAAGUAACGGGUUUGCGGGCCAACUCUGUAUCAAAAUAAACAUCGAGGCCCAAUCGAUUCCGACGUGGAAGAAACACGCGACGCCAUUGGCUAAAUAUUUUAUCCGACGUGAAUGGUCUAAACGAUGAGGAUAUCCUCCUUUUACUUAUUGUAUGAUUACAACCAAAACUUUUCGAAGAUAUUUUUUUCUUUGCAAGUAAAACUUUCGUAGAGAUCAUCAUUCUUUUAACCUUCUCUCUUCUUUUCUGCUAGAUUAAAAUUUGGGAAAAUGGUCAUUUAAAUCCUCAUUUAAAAAAAAACAUGAAUUUGUCCUUAAAUCAUUUAAAGCACCAAUUUAUCUUAAAUAACCAAUUUAAACCUCAACUUAAUUUGACUAAACCAAAUUUACUUCGUGUAAGGGACUGAUUUAACAGAGUUAACCACCGUUUCCAAUUUUCGUUAAAUCUCUCAAAAUUACGUCGUUUUGAUUUUAAAAAAAAAAAAUUAAAUUUGAAAGGAACUGAAUUCAUGACCAAAGCUACACUCGUUGUAAUCUCAAACCACUAGACCACUUACAAUUUUAUUAGCUUGAAUAAAUACCAAUAGAUAUUAUUCUUCUUGUCCAAAUCUGUUUAGUUUUCUCCUCCUCCUUUUCCGUGAAAGCUCACAAUUUAAUCAGUUAAAACUUUUCUUCUCAACAAUAAGUGUAGCUUUGGUCAUGGAUUCAAUUAUUUUCAAAUACAUUUUUUAGAAAAAUUCUAAAACGACUUUGUUUCAGGGAUUUAACGGAAAUUGGAAACAGUGGUUAACUCUGUUAAAUCAAUCCGUUACACGAAGUAAAUUUGGUUUAGUCAAAUUAAGUUGAGGUUUAAAUUGGUUAUUCAAGAUAAAUUAGUGUUUUAAAUGGUCUAUUUAAAUGACCAUUUUCCCAUUAAAAUUUAGAUUGUAGAUAGACAAAUAUACUUUGACCAAAAAAAAAAAAAAGAUAGACAAAUAUAUAUGUAAAUUGUUAUGUUUUCCUAAAUAUAAUGGGCCAUGAGAAUGGCCUUGCUUAUAACAACGAGAAUCGACCUAUUCAUUGUCUAAACUGCCCAGAGCCCAUAAAACUAUAUUAGCCUUGGAGUAUUUAUUUAAAUUUAUUCGUCAGUAGUAUAUCGUGGCCUUGUUAAUCUCCACACCUUUCACGUGAGACCCCUCUCUCGAAAUGGAGAAUAGAUUAAGCGACGUUGACGUGUUUUAAUCUCCUCCUCUUAAACAAAUAUCCUGCCUCCAUGCAAAACAUUCUUAAUACCCUCGCCUUUUCUCGCUAUUUACCACUCUACCCCUACGACCAGCCCUAAUGCUUCCUAAAGAGGAAACCCGAGAGUGGCAUUUCCCGUAAAUAACACCGAAAACCAGCACCGUCUCUUUAGCUUAAGUCACUAAUCACACGUAAUCCCGUGUGUUGUUAGUCUCUUUAAUCACACUUGUUUAAAUAAUUGGGCAGCCAGACGAAAAAAAAUCUUUCUCUUUUUUCUCGUAAAGUAAUAUAAAAUAAUGUGGGGGAAAAUCCUCCGCCAGAAAAAAGGAAAAGCAUAUCAUUAAAAUAUGUGGCUUCAAGCCUAAAUUAAUCAUUAAAAUAAUAAUUUUAAAAAAUAUAAACGAAACGAAGAAGAAGAAGAAGGAAUGAUUCUAGUGUUGUAGAGAAGAGAGAUAUUAUUUUGUUUCUUCAAGUUCAUAGCCUCACCGAUUCGCUCUAUGAUCUGAUUGUGAAUCUCUCUCUCCGUAUCUGGUAACCGAUUUCGAUUUUCGUGUGGAUUCUCAUGAUUAGUGUUUUACGUUUUGCUGUACAAUCGUUCGUGUGGUAGCUGCUAGAGAUUUAGGUUAUGAUACGUUUUUGAAUUUGAACAUGCAAUUGAUUUCGAUUGUUGAUGAUUAGGUGAUGAGUGUGUGUGGAUGAAUGUUAUGGAAAGAGUGGGUGAAGAAACAGUAGGGAGUAACAACGUGCAAUUGAAAGGAGGAAGAGUUGAUGAUGUUCCUUGCACUACGCUUCAUACUGAAUCAGAUGCUGGGAGGAGCGAUUGUCCUGGAAGCUCAGCUCCUCCAGGGGAUAAGAUCUCCGUUGAAGAGCUGACUUAUAGAGCUGCUGUUCAAGGGACUAGUCAUAAUCAUAUGGAGAGUUCUAGGCCCGCUGGCAAGUUUGAGCAUCUCUACCGUCUCGGCUCUUCUGCGUUUAGGGGAGGAGAUGUUGAUUCUCAGCCUCGUGAUGUGGAUCAGAUGCUGUCGAGGAUCAGGCAGCAGCUCGCGGGGGCUCCUUCCGAGAGGCAAAGCUUGGUGAAGCCUUUUGUGAACAAGAGGAGCGAUCAGAAUCUCGAGGCUUUCUCCGAGCGUCUGAGAGCAGCUGGUGGAGAGAACAGCGUGGGGCCUGCGUGGAUCAGCGACGGUGUCCAGUUGAAAAUGACUCCGUUGAGUUCUUCCAGUUUUUCUCAGCUGAUACUUAAAAGAGCUAUGAAGGGGAAAGGCGUGGUUGGUAAACACCAGGAUGCUCCCCCUCCUGAGUUUGUUUGUGAGCAAGAUGGUGUUUGCAAGGAUAAAAAGUUGGAUAAUAGCAGCAAGUCGCCUGUUGCUCAAGAACCGAUCCCGAAAGGUAAUGGGAUUGUAUCGCAUGGUCAAGGGAUUCAUACUUCUAGUGGAAUCAGUUUGAGGGAGUUUAUUAGAUCGAGUUAUGGUAAACGAGAGAAACGACACAGCCUUUCUCUAUUUAGGCAGCUGGUGGAGCUGAUUGGCUCAGCUCAUUCGCAAGGAUUGUUUUUGCUGGAACUGAGACCAUCGCUUUUCGCUUUGGUCCCGUCGAAGAAACUUAGAUAUAAUGGUACUUUUGGAAAGAGCAAUGUAGAGUCGGAUGUUGACGAAGAUUUGAAUAGGAAGAGGCACGUGAUUCAGGAAUCAUCUGUUGUGGGUAGGGAUUUGAAGAAGAGAAGAAUGGACUUGAAUGCUCCAGGGAAUCAACUUCUUCAGGCAAUUUCGACUGGGAGACCUUGCAAAAGGAAAAGUCCCUUGAUUGAUUUAAACGUGGUUGAUGUACGUAAUCCAGACAGUUGUGAACUUCAACAGCAAAGCUAUAUGAAAAAUUUAGGCGUGCCUUCAGUGACGAGAAAACAGUCCAUGUCCACUUGGCUAGAAGAGCAAUGGUAUACUUGUCCAGAGGAAAUAAAUGGAGAAGAUAUCGGAGAAAAGUCGAAUAUAUAUGCUCUUGGUGUUCUUCUAUUUGAGGUAAGGACAUAUACUGGUUUUAUAAUUGUUGUGAUAUGAAUUUUAGUGCUUAUGUGUUUUACUUUCUUUCAUUUUCUGUCUGUGUGCUAGCGGUUUAGGCUUUGUGUAGUUUCCAUUUCAUUUGUCAGUCUUCUCGUAAUCGUGAAAUUGCUUAGUCUAGCUUGUCGUUUUGAACCCCGGAGCUAGUAUUUGCUGUGUAACUUGUCAGUCUUUAGUUUGCUUGUUUGACCCUUACAUGUGAAGAUGCUUACUGAUAGCUCUAGCUUGACCAUGGUUGUUUCAGCUUCUAUGCCAUUGUGAGUCCAGUGAGAUGCAUGCUGCAAUGAUGGCAGAUUUACGUCAUCGUAUUCUCCCACCAGCAUUUCUCUCAAGAUACCCAAAGGAAGCUGGAUUUUGUCUUUGGCUUCUACAUCCUGAGCCUUCCUCCCGACCAACAGCUAGGUAUAUAGAUGCUACUUGAAUAUAUAUAAGAUUUAUUCAAUUUUCAAAGAGUCUUGAGCCGUCUAUAAGAUUUCUUUGCUGGAUGCCUUCAACUUUAUUCAAUGGUUUCACUCAUUAUUGUGAAGAUUCACUGUCGUGGCACUGUGAUUAUCUUCUUGUUUCUUUUUAUAUUCUCAGUCGCUUCUUUUUCUUUGACAGAGAAAUACUGAAGUCUGAGUUGAUAUGUGUGGAGGAUUCAGUUAAAUCGACUGCGGCUGACGAGGAGAUAUCUGAGCUGUUACUUCAUUUUUUGUCUUCACUUGAAAAGCAGAAGAAGAAAAAUGCAUCUAAGCUUUUGCAAGACAUCCAAACCUUGGAGGAUGAUAUCAAAGAGGCCGAGCGAAGAUAUUCUUCAAAAUCAUCGCUGGUGAGAUCUCAUGAAAUUAUUGAAAGCAAAGUGCAAUCAUCUCCCAUAGGCGAGCGCUGUACAACUGCUUCUGGCGCCUUGUUUGUACCAACUGCUAAUACAGACAGGCUGAUGAGUAAUAUUCGUCAACUUGAAGAGGCAUAUUUCUUCAUGAGGUCACAAAUGAAGUUAUCGGAUUCUGCGGCUAGUGCCCGUUCUGACAAAAGCCUUCUAAAGGACAAGGACAAGUGGUCUGAAAACCAAAAUAAGGAUCAGGAUGCGAGAACCAAAGGAAAAUCGUCGGAUCAACUGGAAGUGUUUUUCGAGGGGUUGUGCAAAUUUGCUCGGUAUAGCAAGUUCGAAACCUGUGGAACAAUCAGAAGUGGAGACCUUUUAAACUCCGCCAGUGUGGUCUGCUCAUUGAGUUUCGACCCUGAUGAGGAACACAUAGCAGCUGCUGGGAUAUCAAAGAAAAUCAAGAUUUUUGACUUCAACGCAUUUAUGAAUGAAUCUGUCGGUGUUCAUUAUCCACUAGUGGAGAUGGUCAACAAAUCGAAAUUAAGCUGCGUUUGCUGGAAUAGUUACAUCAAAAACUACUUGGCCUCUACUGACUAUGAUGGUGUAGUCCAGGUGCGUAUGGAAAUUUAUGGUUUCUCCUGUCUAUGUUACGCGGUAGGAUCUAUAGGACUAAGCUCAUGUACUCUUUAUAAAUGUUAAUCAUGUGAUAAUAUUAGAUAAAGAGCUGUCUGAGUAACCGUGAAAAUGCAUUGGUCCUGGUUUUUAGCUGACAUUUUCUUACUGUGUGGUGAAUGCAGAUAUGGGAUGCUGGGACUGGACAAGGAUUUUCCCAAUACACAGAACACCAGAAGAGAGCCUGGUCAGUUGAUUUUUCUCCAUCUGACCCUACAAAAUUUGUCAGUGGAAGUGAUGACUGUUCAGUAAAGCUUUGGAGCGUCAAUGAGGUACGGUUCUUUCCCUUAGAUCUCAUAAUACUGCUAGAAUUUUUAUUUUUAUGUCCAAAUUAUAAUAUAGCUCCAGAAAGUAAUGGAACUUUAUGACUAUCCAAAAAGUAAAAUUAUAUUCUUUUCUGGUGGCUUUGCAGAAACGGUCAUUAGGAACAAUCUGGAGUCCAGCAAAUGUGUGUUGCGUGCAAUUCUCUGCAUAUUCCAAUCAUUUACUGGCAUUUGGGUCAGCUGAUUACAAGGUCUAUUGCUAUGAUCUUCGUUACGUCAAAACUCCUUGGUGCACAUUGGCUGGCCACGAGAAAGCUGUUAGCUACGUUAAAUUUAUGGAUUCAGAGACCAUCGUCACUGCUUCCACUGAUAACUCUCUCAAGCUUUGGAAUCUCAACAAGACAAAUUCCACUGGUUUGUCUACUGGUGCUUGUUCAAUGACGUAUAAAGGACAUACAAAUCAAAAGGUUACUCCUAAAAACUUUAUUCUAUUUUACCUUAACUUUCUCCUUUAUUAAGUUAGUUCUGAUGUCUAAAUCUUUUACCGGAAUACAGAACUUUGUCGGAUUAUCGGUCUUGGAUGGAUACAUAGCCUGUGGUUCAGAGACCAAUGAGGUAUUUAUUACAUUAUCAUAACACACAGCCUGUAGGAUACUUAAUGGUUUGCCUCUCAACUUAUUAAAAAAACGUUUUCUACUUGGAUGUUGUUUCCUUUUCAGGUAUAUAGUUACUAUAGAUCCUUACCGAUGCCAAUGACUUCAUACAAGUUUGGAUCGGUGGAUCCCAUAUCUGGGAACGAAUACUUUGAUGACAAUGGACAGUUUGUGUCGAGCGUCUGUUGGAGAAAAAAAUCGAAUAUGCUUGUAGCUGCGAAUUCUACCGGAAACAUGAAGCUACUAAAACUGGUUUGACAUUUGUGGGCGAGUGAGUUCUUUUGGAAAACAAAUCUCUCAAGUCUGUAUCUAAGACAACAGUUUGACUUGAACCUACGUUUUUGUCCUGGAAACGUUGAUCCCUAUAUGACCGUGACAGGUUAUGGUUGGCAACCAAAUCUCAGAGAAGUUGAAGCAAAAAAAAAGCUGUCUAUGUCUUUGAUAAUAUAUGAUUCUUCUUCAUAUGUAACUGUAUAUGAGAUGAAAGUUCUCAGAUUCUUCGGAAAGUGACUCAGAUUUGGUCUUGCACAAACAAGUUCGGCUCAAUGUGUAAUGAUUAGAGGUAUAUAAUCUGUACAAGUGUGUUCGCAUAGCUUAUUUAUGUAAUUGUUGUUGUUGGAUAUUACUGCUAGAGAUAAUAAAGCGAGAAAAGAGGUCUCUGAUUUAUUAUUUCUCUGUUGAUUAAAUCAUUCAUUCAUGGUUACUUUCUCGUUUUCAUUUCAUAAUUUCAUCAAUUUAUUUAGUAAUGCUAUCUGAAAAAAACAAUUUACAAUCCACUUACCAAACGUAAGUCUUAUGUUUUUAUGGCUGAAGUAGAUGACACUCGCAAGCUACACUAUAUUGCACUCACAAAAAAAGUUGUUUAAUGUUAUUUUCUGAGACCACGAAAUUGUGAGAAAUCAUAAUUCAAUAUUUCCAAAUACUGAUGAUAGAAACGGUAAGGACAUUGUCUUAACUUCUGCAAGAAUUGUAAAGAGUUUCUAAAUAUAGAGAAAGUUGAGAGAAUCGAAUUGAUUUGUGACUUCAUCUCCAUGUGCAUACGAUGUUUGGUAGUGUGAUCAAGUCCCUAGAAAAACAAGUGUACUAGAGUAUGGCGUUGAUGAGGUGCACAUGGGUUUUGGAUUGCCUUCGUCAUUUUCCCAAUGAUUGUUACAAUUCAUUCAAAACCAAAAAUAUAUAUAUAUCGUUAAAAUCAUAAUUUUGGUUUGCAAUUUAGACAAAAAAAAACAUUAGAAUAGAAAAUCACAUCCUCUUGUUGGCUUUCCAAAAACUCAAAACAUUAUUCUUUCCUUGGAAGCAAAAUCUUACAACCAUUUGGUCCUAUCCAUCUCUUGCAAGUCAUGUUUCACAUUAGCCAGGUAAGAAUCUUUUGAAUGUUCCUCUUGCAACAAGUCCGGACGAACAAAAAUAAAGAAGAGGAUGGCUUUGUGGAUUCAAUAGAAAACGAAACAGCAUAAAUUCGACAGUGAAUUGGCAUAAUAUCAUUUUGGACACUUGUUCAUCAUGACACUAGCAGUUGUAUCUUUAACCUUUGUUCUGAUGUAUCUAUAUACAUUAUAUUAUUUAUCUUGCAAAAUACGUGACCAAACAUUGGUAAUAGAAUUGGAACCAUAAGAGGCAGGUUGGGUUAACAGGGCACAUGGCUGCUUGACAAGUCCGUUACUGCAUCCUUUUCAUUGUCCCUCUAUUUCAAGCUCUUUGUGCUAAUCGUUAAUUUCUUUCUCUAAUAAGAAAAUAAAUAUACCAUGAUUUAUUGUCUUGAAAUGAUUUAUUGUCUCUUUCACAACUUCACAUCUUAUGCAUCUACGUUCAUUACCCAGAUGUUGGUAUGUAAAACACUGAUUUAUAGGCCACAUAUUAUGAAAAAGCUUACGAGAUAUAAUGUUUACUCGUCAUAUAUAAAUCUAUAGACGGUAGAAAAAAAUAAGAAAAUACUAUGCAACUAUGCCAAGUUAAAGUUGCCCACUAAUUACAUUCACUAAUUAAACUCUCUGUUUUUUAAUAUUUUAUUUUUAGAAUAACGAAUAUUAGUCUAUAAAAUUAAUACGCAAAUGUGUUUGUCUCCACACCCUUCAAAUUCAAGUACCAAUUAGAAAAUCUAGUCGAGUAUCAUGAUUGAAUAAGUCAGAGGGGCAUGGGUCAUUCAACUAUUCACCUCACAUGUUGUGUGUAUCUUUCCUUCUGUAACUGUAUCACAUGUUGUAUGAAGCUUUUUGUAUGUUUUUAGUUACCCUUGAAAAAAUACUUCAGAACGUUUCACGAUUUUCAAAUUCGAAUUUUCUAAGUUUUUGAAAAGGUAAUAACCCAACAUUAUUUCCAACUGCAACAUGCAUGUUCGCCUAAUAUUUAAAAGAUUACUAUAUCUGAAACAUAUAAAAUGAUUGAUGUUAAUGAUCCAACGGCUAAUACCUCUAACGAGUUUGUCAAAUAGUCACCUAAUAAAGAUUACACCAAUCAUUAAACAAUAAUUAUAAUUUUACAGCAGAUUAUUCAUAUUUUACAUUCAACAGCCGACGUACUCCAAAUUAAAAUAAGCCAAGUAUAAUCAUAUACUCGUCAAAAUAAUUAUAAAUUAUGUGGCAUAGAGUGACAUUGUAAGUUGAUAAAAGAAACUCGCUAAAAUGAUUCAAACAAUUAUAUCAAUGCCAAGUAAACCGAGCUUAACUAAUUUUUAUGUUUAUGUAAACUGAAACUACCUUAUGAGCAAUCUACCUAAACAAUUAAACAUUGAUGAAUGAAGCGUUAAUCAAAGCUGAUCACCACCUACUAGCCGUUAAAUUAAUCAAGAAAAAAGGAAAAACAACGUUGCAUAGAAAGAGAAUCGAAUCAUCGGUUAAAAAGCAAAGAAACAAAGAAAUUGGAGACACUGGUGGAGUCAUGACCUAUUAUAGGUCCAGUUUGGCUGCCAAUCUGUCAUUCCGCCCCACCACUACACUAACAAAAAGAGAUACUUUUAUUAUUAUUUAAACAAAAUAACUAACAAACAAAAAAUUACAGAAAAAAGAUAUAAUCACAUCACAUCAGCGGAGAGAGAAAGAGAGAGAGAAAGAGAGAGAGAAAGCAAUUUCCAGAGGGCUCGGCGGUCGGCCGGCGCGUGAGCGUCCGUGCCGCCGCCGGAGCUCGUGUUUCUUUCAGAUAAAAUUACCAGGAUCCGGCCUUCUCCUCGUUUCUGCCGGUUCCCGCCUGUCCGAUCUCUGGUCUGCCACCAACCGCUUUGGUUCUGGUCCUGGAGUAACGACGCGGUGGCUGUGUAGAUGACGCGGAGAAGACCUUAGUUGUUGUCGGAAUAAUAUCUCCGGGAGGCGGAGGCUAUCGCAGAUCCGUCGCCGCCGGUCUUUUGUCUCCGUGGCGGGGAAACUCCUUCAGGUCCGCCGUCAUCGGAUCUAGUCUCCGGGGGGUGAAGGCUUCUUCAGCCUUGCGUCGCCGGCUCGUGGCCCUUAUUCUUUAGGGUUUUGUUUCUUUCUUUUCUUCGGUCGGGUUUUUUUGCUUGUUUCUGUGGGUUGGUGUGUUCGUCGGAGGAGAUGGAAGAGCUCCGGCGGAAAGAAUGAGGAUGCAUGCGAUUCCUCUGGCGGGUCCCGGUGGUUAAUGUUGAUGGAGGAGCUCUCGCUACGGCGAUUGAGCCUCUCCGGCUUGAGUGGCCCAAAGUUGGGUGAAAGUAAAGAGGAACGGAGCGAUGGAGCUCCGGUUUGGCCGGGUGGUCCGGUGGUUGGAUCUCCGGCGCCGACGAGUUGAGAUGGUAUGGCGCUAUCCUUGUGACACGUGUUUCUUCGCGGAGGAGGAUCGCGACACGUGUACAAGCGGCCAAAAGUGGGUUUAGUGAGGCGGCAGUAUGCCUUUCCGCCUGCUCCCUAGGGUUUUCUCGUGAUGGGUCCGUAGGGCUUAGCCCAUUAGAAAUUUGGGUGUCCUAUUUGUUGUUGGGCUUAUGUUAUAAUAUUGUACUGGGUUUGGCCCGUUUCUUUUAUAAUAUUAAAUCCCUUUGAUGGAAAAAAAAAA